rnacentral:rRNA from 1 species
GACGAACGCUGGCGGCGUGCCUAAUACAUGCAAGUAGAACGCUGAAGAGAGGAGCUUACUCUUCUUGGAUGAGUUGCGAACGGGUGAGUAACGCGUAGGUAACCUGCCUUGUAGCGGGGGAUAACUAUUGGAAACGAUAGCUAAUACCGCAUAACAAUGGAUGACACAUGUCAUUUAUUUGAAAGGGGCAAUUGCUCCACUACAAGAUGGACCUGCGUUGUAUUAGCUAGUAGGUGAGGUAAUGGCUCACCUAGGCGACGAUACAUAGCCGACCUGAGAGGGUGAUGGGCAGCAGUGGGACUGAGAACCGGCCCAGAGACCAACGGGAGGCAGCAGUAGGGAGAGGUUCGGCAAGGGUGGCAAACCUGACCGUGCAAGGGCGAGUGAGGGAAGAAGGUUUUCGGAUCGUAAAGCUCUGUUGUAAGUCAAGAACGGGUGUGAGAGUGGAAAGUUCACACUGGGACGGUAGGUUACCAGAAAGGGACGGCUAACUACGUG